GCCUAGCCCUAAACCUUGGUAAUAUAUCACAUACCCUACCCGCCUGGGAACUACGAGCACCAGCUUAAAACCCAAAGGACUUGGCGGUGCUUUAGACCCCCCUAGAGGAGCCUGUUCUAGAACCGAUAACCCCCGUUCAACCUCACCCUUCCUUGUUUAUCCCGCCUAUAUACCGCCGUCGUCAGCUUACCCUGUGAAGGCCUAAAAGUAAGCACAACUGGCACAACCCAAAACGUCAGGUCGAGGUGUAGCGCAUGGAGGGGGAAGAAAUGGGCUACAUUCCCUAUAUUAGGGAACACGAACGGCGCACUGAAACACGCGCCUGAAGGAGGAUUUAGUAGUAAGCGGAAAAUAGCGUGUUCCGCUGAAAUCGGCCCUGAAGCGCGC
rnacentral:rRNA from 6 species